rnacentral:rRNA from 1 species
GAUGAACGCUGACAGAAUGCUUAACACAUGCAAGUCAACUUGAAUUUGGGUUUUUAACUUAGGUUUGGGUGGCGGACGGGUGAGUAACGCGUAAAGAACUUGCCUCACAGGUAGGGACAACAUUUGGAAACGAAUGCUAAUACCUAAUAUUAUGAUAAUAGGGCAUCGUAUAAUUAUGAAAGCUAUAUGCGCUGUGAGAGAGCUUUGCGUCCCAUUAGCUAGUUGGAGAGGUAACGGCUCACCAAGGCGAUGAUGGGUAGCCGGCCUGAGAGGGUGAUCGGCCACAAGGGGACUGAGACACGGCCCUUACUCCUACGGGAGGCAGCAGUGGGGAAUAUUGGACAAUGGACCGAGAGUCUGAUCCAGCAAUUCUGUGUGCACGAUGAAGUUUUUCGGAAUGUAAAGUGCUUUCAGUUGGGAAGAAAAAAAUGACGGUACCAACAGAAGAAG